UACGUAGGGGGCUAGCGUUGUCCGGAAUCAUUGGGCGUAAAGCGCGUGUAGGCGGCCCGAUAAGUCCGCUGUGAAAGUCCAGGGCUCAACCCUGGGAUGCCGGUGGAUACUGUCGGGCUCGAGUCCGGAAGAGGCGAGUGGAAUUCCUGGUGUAGCGGUGAAAUGCGCAGAUAUCAGGAGGAACACCGGUGGCGAAGGCGGAUCUCUGGGCCGUAACUGACGCUGAGGAGCGAAAGCAUGGGGAGCGAACAGG
rnacentral:rRNA from 1 species